UACGAGAGGCCCAAACGUUAUUCGGAAUUACUGGGCUUAAAGAGUUCGUAGGCGGCGCAGAAAGUAGGGUGUGAAAGCCCUCGGCUCAACCGAGGAAUUGCGCUCUAAACUACUGUGCUUGAGGGACCUAGAGGUGAGCGGAACUGAUGGUGGAGCGGUGAAAUGCGUUGAUAUCAUCAGGAACACCGGAGGCGAAGGCGGCUCGCUGGACCGGUUCUGACGCUGAUGCGCGAAAGCGUGGGGAGCAAACGGG
rnacentral:rRNA from 1 species